rnacentral:rRNA from 1 species
UACGAAGGGUGCAAACGUUGCUCGGAAUCACUGGGCGUAAAGCGCACGUAGGCGGAUCCUUAAGUCAGGGGUGAAAUCCCGAGGCUCAACCUCGGAACUGCCUUUGAUACUGGGGAUAUCGAGUCCGGGAGAGGUGAGUGGAACUGCGAGUGUAGAGGUGAAAUUCGUAGAUAUUCGCAAGAACACCAGUGGCGAAGGCGGCUCACUUGCCCGGUACUGACGCUGAGGUGCGAAAGCGUGGGGAGCAAACAGGG